GUUAUCGAUAAUUAUUUUGAGUUCCUUGUUGUUUUCCAUUUCUUUUUAUUCUUGUAGUGUUGUGAUGUGAGUGAUGUGAUUCCGGGUUAUAGCUGUAUGUGGUUUUUAUGAAUGAAGUUGCACAAUUCACGAAAGUUUUCACAGGCAAAACUUUGGAGUACUGCAGGGCAGAUAAAAAUCUGGUGGUUUUCCGUAUUUGGCGUGUUGCAUAUUUCGCAUAGGUUGGAGUUUUCAGCAUUGAUGAGGUACAGGUGACCUGUUGAAUCCUGAAAACCAAUGGCGGUUUGGUGGCUCUGGGAAGAAUUGUGAGAAAUGUUGGUGGAUUAGGGAGCGAGCAUCUUUUAUCGAGAGGCCUGUUUGUAUGAUUGAACCGAUUUCAGCUGCAUGUUUGGCGAAAAAGUCUGCACGUUCAUUAGCAGCAAUGCCUAUAUGCGAGGGAAUCCGAGGACUUGAGUUGUUUACCUUUUGUAGAAUAUUGUUGGCCAGUUUUUAUUGUGAACUUUAAGAUUCUGUAUUAUUUAUUUUGAGUGUAUUGUUGGUGUUAAUAGAUGCGUUGUUUAAUCCAGAUGGGAGCAGUGAUUGCUGGAAUUUGUUUAAUAUACUUAAACCUACGGCACUAUUUAGUGAGAUACUUUUGAGAAACUUGCUUGUUGGAAAAUUGGUUGAGACGGUGUUAUUUGAAUCGGACUCGUGACGUGAUGAAUUGGAUUUCUAGUUUAUAUAUUUUUAGGUACAACGGUCCUCUAGACUCCUCCAGAGCGGAUACCCAGACAUAUAAACUGGAUCACUACCAAACAUACUGCUAAUUCUAUAACUUUUGUUUUAUCUAGGAUGGUCAGUGCGGAUACUCUUGUUAAUAAUCUAAGAGUUGGCUAUUGCUAAGUGUGUUGAUGACGUACACUUCCUAUAUUAAUACACCGCAAGGGUUUCUUUGGUUUGGGCGCCAUAUUGUUACGUGUCCUUUUAAGCGGAGCCAGAUCGAUGCCUCUAUAUCGCCGACUCUCUUGGGGCAGGUUCCAUCCCGACAUCUCUUGCCCAGGAACGCACACAAUCGAUUUGGUCUAUUCCUAUUGAUAAUUUACUUUAACUUCUGCCAUCAAAACUCCGGACUCCGGGUUCAGAGUCAAACUUAGCCGCCCACCCGACCAUAGUCAUCCUACCAAUCUUGCCUUGAUGACCCCUAUUACCGCUGGAAGUACCACCACUCACCUCAUCUUCCUUUCCCUCCUUUCCUUUUCAGUUAAACUAUCAUAUUUCUAAUUGUCUAAAGAUUCACAUUAUAUUUAUUGAAAAAUGUUGAUUUUAUUUUAUGAUUAGGUAUCCUUUUUCCUUAAUUAUUACUAUUUAAAACUAAUAAA